rnacentral:lncRNA from 10 species
AGAAUUGCUUAAACCCGGGAGGCGGAGGCUGCAGUGAGCUGAGAUUGUGCCAUUGCACUCCAGCCUGGGCAACAGAGUGAGACUCCGACUCAAAAAAAAAAAAAAAAAAAAAAAGCUCAACAUUACUGAUCAUUAGAGAAAAGCAAAUCAAAACCACAAUGAGAUACUAUCUCACAUCAGUCAGAAUGGCUAUCACUAAAAAGUCAAAAAAUAACAGGUACUCACAAGGUUGUAGAGAAGAAGGAACACUUAUACACUGUUGGUGGGAGUGUAAAUUAGUUCCAUUAUUGUGAGAGACAGUGUGGCGAUUCCUCAAAGACCUAAAAACAGAACUACCAUUUGACCCAGCAAUCCCAUUACUGGCUAUAUACCCAAAGGAAUACAAAUUGUUCUAUCAUAAUGACACAUGCCUGGGUAUGUUCAUUGCAGCAUUAUUCACAAUAGCAAAGACAUGGAAUCAACACAAAUGCCCACCCAUGGUAGACUGGAUAAAGAAAAUGUGGUAUAUAUACACCAUGGAAUACUAUGCAGCCAUAAAAAAGAAUGAGAUCAUGUCCUUUGCAGGAACAUGGAUGGAACUGGAAGCCAUUAUCCAAAGCAAAUUAAUGCAGUAGAAAACCAAAUACCUCAUGUUCUCACUUGUAUGUGGGAGCUAAGUGAUGAGAACACAUGGACUUAUAGUGAGGAACAACUGAUACUAGGGCCUACUGGAGGGUGGAAGGUGGGAGGAGGGAGACAAUCAGAAAAAUUUACUAAUGGAUACUAGUUCAUACCUGGGUGAUUAAAUAAUCUGUACAUCAAAUCCCCAUAAUACCAGUUUACCUAUAUAACAAAUCUGCACAUGUGCCCCUGAACUUAAAAGAAAGGUUUAAAAAAUGUGGAAAUAAAAAAAGCAGCAUUUGUUUGGGUUCUUCAAAUGCAAUAUUCUAAGAUAAAAAGAUAAUAUGAAAAUUUAAGCUGAAAAAAAAUUAAAAUAUAUUUGCAUCAGUGUCCUGGUAGCUCAGGAGACUGUUCCAAAGCUUGGGCAAGAAUUUGGGUACUUCUAAGUUGGCCUGAAAGUUAGAGUUAUAAAUAUAUUCACAUUAUUUGCCAAGUAAUGGAAACAUUCAAGGUAACUGCCAUUCCUUUUGGUAUGUGCUUUAAAAAAAAAACACCCCAAAGACCUAAACACUUAUUGGGGAAAAUAUUUAACAAUAAUUAACUAAACAUUAAGUGUGUAUCAGAUUUCAAUUCAAAAGGUAUAAACACAUUCGACAAAUACCUGGCAGAAUAGUUGUCUUUUGCAGCCUUAAUUGUUAGGAUCUGUGAGGCAAUGACAGAGAGAACUUCCAAAUCAAUUAGAUUGAAUUCAUCAAAACAACUCCAUGCUCCUGACUGAACUAGUCCAAAGAAAAAUUUUCUCACUAUCUUUUAAAAAAAAAAAGAGAUUGAUUACUAAAAUUAUUAUAAUGGUGAGAAAAUUUACUGGGAUAUUAAUUUGUAUGUGUUCUCCCCAUGCUACCCAAACCAAGCAAAGGCCUUUUGCAUUUCCCCCUCCUAGGCAUUUUUAUAGGGUUGAAAGCAGCAGCUGCUUAGAUGCUAGACAAGUCAACUACUCUGCCUUUUGCUUCUAAAAGCCCACUCAGCAGAGCAAACUCUGAUGCUCACAGGGACCGUGAAGACAGGGCCACAGCUUCUGACGGAUUGCACAGAGAUGUACCAGAUCCCUCCCUGGACAGCCAUUUCCCUCACACAGCUGCACCCUGGGGCAGAGUCUUCAGGACAACUUUCUGGCAGAUGGGCGUAAAGUGUGUGAAUCUGGGGGCUGCCUUUUCUGGAUCAGGCAAAGAUGCCUUAUGGCUUAGUGGCGGGCAGCUGAUGGGCAAUGCAAAAGACUGAACCACAGGCCCAGAUAAGGCAAGACUGCAGUGGGCCCAGCUAAAGCACGCAGCUGCUGCUGGGCUUCUGCCACUUGCCAGAGUGCAGGCCCAGGCUGGCCAGGUGCAGCAGUGUUCUGUGAGAGGCUGCAAGUCUGGGAUUGAAAUCUAUUGGUUUGUAAAUGUUAGCAACUAAAACAAAGCAACAAAACAAACAAAAAUAUUGACAGGCCUAACUUCUGUGGGCUGAAUGCAAGUUGAGGGGUGCCUGAACUCUAUUGCUAGGUAUGGCAAGGAGGAAAGGAAGUGGGAAUCGGAAUGAGUAAGUGAGAGCCUCAGACCGAGAAGGAUGUAGAAGAUUGUUCCUUCCACUGAGCAGCAGGAAUCAGAUCUUGUCUUAAUUUAAAAUUUUGCAGGCUUUUUGGCCUCACUCAUGUGGAGCCCUCAUAGGCCCCACUAGUGGUUUCCAGGAAGGAGGCAAGAGAGUCUUAUUUGAAAAAGAAUCAAGAUUAAAAAUGGAGCAUUGAUUAAAAAAACAAAUAGAAGUUAAAAAAUUAAAAUCAAAUGAGAAGUGUGAUAUAAAACUCAUCAAUGACUGAUCAUAUUAGGUAUGAAAUAGUAGAACUGAAGAAUAAAAACAUGUGAACAUGCUUCCCUCUGAGGCUAAUGGCCUUGCUGAAUCAUGCUGCUUUGGUGUGAUGUCAACCCAAAUGGAGGAUUUAUAUAAGAAUCAUCCCUCUGAAGUUUAUUAUGGUUUCCAAUAAGACUGUGAUUGAAGAUGAUGUUUAUCAUAAUCUGGAUCCUUAUUAUGAGUGUACUUAAGAGAAAUGCUAUUUGUUCUAUGUAUCAAAACAAAUUGAACUUUGUAGAAAUUGAUUUGUAUUUAUAUCAUGAGCACUGUGAAUUGUGUAGCUAACCAUAAAUGUUCACAUCUAGAAGGUUUUGAGUUACAUUUAUGAACUAUUUGUAGCUUUGUGGUAUGAAUUCUUGACUCUAUUUUAUAUCCCAGUUAGUGCUAACUCAAUUCUCAAAAUAAACACAUUUGAGCACUAUCAAUGAAAAAGUAUCAAACAAUAUUUUGUAAAGAAUUUUAUGUUUUUUUUUAAAUAUUAAAACAUUGUCAAGCAAAAACUCAUUCCUACACAUUUUUAAUUGUUUAGUGCUGUUUUGAUUUUGAAUUACAAGUGGAGGCAGGUACAAUAUCUUCUCAGAAUUUAGUCAUCAAAGCUCUUACACAGGCACUAGUUUUUGCCUUUGUUUGCCUUUAUUCACUCAUUCCACUCACUCUCAACAUAUGCUAUCAUGUAGUAGUGUGUAUAUCCUUGUGAGCCCUUUUAAAUCCUUUCUGGAACAACAGGGAAUAUUAUAAAGAAAUCUGGAAAAGUGAGUAAAUUUUAAAAAUAAACUUAAUUAAAAAUAAAAGAAAAAUUUAAAAUUAUAAGCUACUACCUUGCAAAAGUCUCAGAUGAGAGAGCAUAUAUCCACAAGAGAGAGAAAAGUAUAACACUUGUGGAAGAAAAUGUUUUUUUAAAGAAGAAAUUUUGUUAUCCUAAGAACCUGUAUUUGUUUUAUGAUUCAAGUAGAGUGCCAAAUCAUUAUUUUGAUAGAAAAUCAAUUUCCAGAGCCUUUCCCUUUCCAUUAGUGUUCCCUUAGAACACAGCUUCUCAAAUUUUCUCAGUUCACUGCACCCUUAGUAACUCAGUAAUUUUUUCAUGAUGACCCUAGACCAAAAGGAAUAUCUAAUAGUUUCUUUUGUUAGUUUUAGGUCCAAAGCAGUUUAGAAAGUAUUUUUGUCUUAAUGAUUUAGUAGGUUGCUUGAAACAAGGUACACAAAUGAAUUGAAAGAAAAAAAAAUUUAUUUCAUUAAUUUUUUUAAAAAAUUAAAUUAAUUUAUUUAUUUGAGAUGGAGUCUUGCUCUGUCACCCAGGCUGGAGUGCAGUGGCACAAUCUCAGCUCACUGCAAUCUCCACCUCCUGGGUUCAAGUGAUUCUCCUGCCUUAGCCUCCUGAGUAACUGGGAUUACAGGUGUGCACCAUCACGGCCAGCUAAUUUUUAUUUUUAGUAGAGAUGGGUUUUCACCAUGUUGGCCAGACUGGUCUCCAACUCUGGACCUCAAGUGAUCCACCCGGCCUCCCUCCCAAAGAGCUGGGAUUACAGGUGUGAGCCACCAUGCCUGGCCUUAUUUCAUUUUUAAAUAGCCAGUUACUUAAUGAGAUAUGCCUAUUGUGUACUGCACCACUUACCAAACCUUGGGAUCAGAUUGGAUACUUGCAAUCGUGUUUGCUACAUUGAUUUUCAUGGGAUACUUGCUUUUUAUGAGAGCAACUGCCAAAACCUAGCUUUGCAAGGAUAAGAAGUCACUGAAAGGUAUGUAACAUGAUCUGAUGUUAAAACGGAACUAUUUUGAGCUGCUAGUAUGUUUGGUGUCUGAUAGAUGUUGUACAUUGCUGUGAUUCCCUCAAAAGGUUAAAAUAUCUUGCAGUGCCCUUGUGAAUUCUCUAUGGUGGCUUAGGGUACCUUGACACACAAUUUGGGAACUAUAGCCCUAAACUCAUAGACACUUACAGAGUCUUAUUAGAAUCUUCUCUUUUCUAGUUUACCUUUCUAUAUAUGCUCUUCCUCUUUUUCAUUCUCAUUUUUAAAAAGAGUUAAUAAAAAGUAAUAAUGACACACUAGACUUUUUCCAGAGUAAUGGUUCAUUAAUACAAUAUAUCCUCUUUGGCAAUUAAGAAAGUAUACAUUUAUGCUUUAAUGAACAUGUGAGUAUAUAUCAGAUAUAAAGUAUUCAGAUAAAAUAUAGUCAACAGUGGCCUCAGUUACAUACUUAAGCCUCUGUCUGCUUCAUUUUUCUAGAGUUUAAAGGAAACUGUCAUACCUAAAAUAAGGACUUUUAUGCUAACUGCAGAAUUUAUGCUAACCGUACAUUUAUUAUCAGAGCUUGAUACUCAAUCUCUUCUCACUAAAGGUGAGAAUGGCCCUAAUUUUCUAUACUUUCAUAUUUUACUAAUUGACUCCAGGUAGGAGGAAGGCAGUUUUGAGUUAGGGAGCUGGCUGGAAAUGUUCUUCAGUUUGUUUCCCCUCAGUCUGUUCCAGAAUUAACAGCACAGCGGAAAGAAGAGGCUGGAGGUAGAGCUCUGAAUGCCCAUGGAAAGAUACUGCCCUCUGUCUAGAUGGAAAUGGGAGAAUGUAACUAUCAAAAGGGCCUAAUCAGGUCAGGAAGACAAAGCAGAAAGAAGUAAAAAUGAGGUGGAGGGACAGUAGAAAAGAGAAAGAAGGAAAAGCAGUAGUAGGGUGCAGUAAUGUCCCCUUAUCUGCAUGGAAUAUGUUUCAGGACCGCCCCCGCCCCCGCCCAAACAGAGGAUACGUAUAGUUCAAACCACAUAUAGUUCCAGACCCUCUAUAUACCAUACUAUGCCUUUUCCUAUACAUAAAUAACUAUAAUAAAGCUUAAUUUAUAAAUGAGGCACAUUAAGAGAUGAAAAACAAUGACAUAAUAAAACAGAACAGUAGAAAAAUACACUCACAUUCACAUGUUAUGUGAAUGUGAUCUGUCUCUCUAAAUAUCUUAUUGUAAUAUACUCACUUAUUUUUGGGCCACAAUUGACCAUAGUAACUGAAACUGGAAAGCAAAACUGCAGAUAAAGGGGGACUAAUAUACUCAGAUUGGUACAGUUUGCUUAGAAUUUUGGUAAAGCCCCCAAAAUUAAAACUCAAGUUUGACAAAGUGUGAGGUAGAGAAUCAAUUUACCUAAAGAUAUAUUUGGGAGAAGUUAUUGUAUGUAGUUAUAAUUUAGAUCCACCUACCUUGUCCACUCAAA